rnacentral:rRNA from 1 species
AUUGAACGCUGGCGGCAUGCCUUACACAUGCAAGUCGAACGGUAGCGCGGGGCAACCUGGCGACGAGUGGCGAACGGGUGAGUAAAGCAUCGGAACGUGCCCUGGAAUGGGGGAUAACGUAGCGAAAGUUACGCUAAUACCGCAUAUUCUGUGAGCAGGAAAGCAGGGAAUCGCAAGACCUUGCGUUCUGGGAGCGGCCGAUGUCGGAUUAGCUAGUUGGUGGGGUAAAAGCCUACCAAGGCGACGAUCCGUAGCGGGUCUGAGAGGAUGAUCCGCCACACUGGGACUGAGACACGGCCCAGACUCCUACGGGAGGCAGCAGUGGGGAAUUUUGGACAAUGGGCGGAAGCCUGAUCCAGCCAUGCCGCGUGAGUGAAGAAGG